UAGGGAAUAUUCCGCAAUGGGCGAAAGCCUGACGGAGCGACGCCGCGUGCAGGAGGAAGGCCUUCGGGUUGUAAACUGCUUUUAUGUAUGACGACUUCGACGGUAGUACAUGAAUAAGGGUCUGCUAACUACGUGCCAGCAGCCGCGGUCAAACGUAGGACCCAAGCGUUAUCCGGAAUUACUGGGCGUAAAGAGUUGCGUAGGUGGCAUAGUAAGCAAACGGAGAAAGCGUGUGGCUCAACCAUACAGUUAUUGUUUGAACUGCUAAGCUAGAGUAUAGGAGAGGUAGCUGGAAUUGCUGGUGUAGGAGUGAAAUCCGUAGAUAUCAGCAGGAACACCGAUGGCGUAGGCAGGCUACUGGCCUAUUACUGACACUAAGGCACGAAAGCGUGGGGAGCGAACGGGAUUAGAUACCCGCGUAGUCC
rnacentral:rRNA from 1 species